AUUGAACGCUGGCGGCAGGCCUAACACAUGCAAGUCGAGCGGAUGAAGGGAGCUUGCUCCUGGAUUCAGCGGCGGACGGGUGAGUAAUGCCUAGGAAUCUGCCUGGUAGUGGGGGAUAACGUCCGGAAACGGGCGCUAAUACCGCAUACGUCCUGAGGGAGAAAGUGGGGGAUCUUCGGACCUCACGCUCUCAGAUGAGCCUAGGUCGGAUUAGCUAGUUGGUGGGGUAAAGGCCUACCAAGGCGACGAUCCGUAACUGGUCUGAGAGGAUGAUCAGUCACACUGGAACUGAGACACGGUCCAGACUCCUACGGGAGGCAGCAGUGGGGAAUAUUGGACAAUGGGCGAAAGCCUGAUCUAGCCAUGCCGCGUGUGUGAAGAAGGUCUUCGGAUUGUAAAGCACUUUAAGUUGGGAGGAAGGGCAGUAAGUUAAUACCUUGCUGUUUUGACGUUACCAACAGAAUAAGCACCGGCUAACUUCGUG
rnacentral:rRNA from 1 species